CAAUGAGAAACAACAGAGGUAGUACUAGGGGACAAAUGCAAGAUCUACUGCAUUUCAUUUAAUCAAGACAAAAUCUCUGUGUCUCCAGUGUCAGUAUCAGCAGUCAGUCAGUGGUCAGAGCAUUCCUUGACAAGAGGACACCUGAACCUCCAGCAUGCCCACACCUGGAACCUACAGCACAACAAACUGGUUUGAAUUCAGAACAGCUGUCCCGUCCCGUACCACAGCCUCCUCUGGCUACCAAACUGAGUGCACCUUCCUGCAGCCUGCCACAGCCUGAGCACAGCAAUGCUAACUGAGGUAAAGAACUGGAAAAACACAGAAUCUAACAAAAUAAAGACACAAUUCACAUGAAAACAUGUAAAACUCCACAUGAACAACUAGCAACGGGGAAAACAGUUUUAAGUGAUUUAUUUAUGUUUUAGCAAUAUCUUAUUUCCUUUUAACACGACUAACACAAACUAAACUGCAGUACAUCAGGAUCAUCCUGAAACACUAAUUUAAGUCUACAAACACUGGUGAACAGUUACCUUAUCAAAAGUUCCAGCAAUAAAAGUAAGCAAGGCAUCCAAAGUGACCAGCUACCAAGUAAAUCAGUAAGUGCCAGGGGAAAACAAUAAGUUAUUUUUCAUGCUGUAAUACACACUAUCAUUCAGAAGCUCCGUGAGAUAUCACAGAUGGACUCUAGAUGCAAGUUGAGGAAAAACAAAUAAGCACAGAACGACUGUGUAAGUGUUAACAGCAAGUCCUACCAAGUGCGACAAUUUGAGGGCUGCCUUUCUCUCCUCAGUGUGAUUUUGCAAAAACUAUACACUGUAUACUGUAAUUGCCAUGCAAUAUUGCAUCACCACUGCUGUGUCUGUGGCAGACACAGGGAAGAGGGUGUGGCAUAGAAGUGCCUACCUUAACUCAAUAAAGCUAAACUGAAAGAAAUAUCUAUGCUUUGAUGUGCUUUCACAUACAGAAUCUUCCUGCAAUAACUAUUCCAUUCCAAUUCUAUAUCUAUUUUAUACUCAAACUUUCCUGAAUAACUACAGUACUAGGGUACAGAUCAUCAAAACAACCUGACCUGAUUUCAGAAAGACAUGGCUCACAGGAGACCAAUCAUAAAACACAGAGCUGCUCUGUAGAAGGAAGUGUCAGAAAAGGAUUAGGUAUAUUGACUAUUUCAAUACAAACCUCUCCAUUUUUUGCUUAAGUUCACAGGUACUUUUGUCUUAAGUAUCACUUGAUUCUUGUGUUCUUUAACCUGUUCUGUAUUCCUGUACACAGGGCUGCACCAGGAACACAGUGGAUUUGUGUGAAGGAUGGGUAGCCUGCCUGUGGAGUGUGACCAUGUACAGACCAGGCACAGAGAUCUUCCUGCCACAAGGCUGCAAAAAAUCUGUAUUCCCAACCAGUUUGUUUAUGGACUUUCUGAUGGCAAGGAAGCAGAAGAAUAGCAGAACUACUGAGAUCAGUUCCAUUGCCCCAAAAAGCUGUCUCUGAGGUCUGUGGCAUUUGACAGACUCCCUCAAAUUUGAUUUCAGCAGAGAAAGGGAACAAGCAAAACCUUCCGAAGUAGAAACUGAAGUUUUAGAAGCUCACCUAAGAUGAAAUAAGAUGGACACCCACUGAGACUGCAUAGCAGCAGGGCUGCCUUGCUACCAGCAGCAGUGAUGCCAGAGCCAGCUGAGGAAAAGCCCUCGUGUCAGCACUGGACAUUACUUCCAGAACAGAUACCGUGGUAGGAUGAGAAGGAUGGACAGAGCAAAUUGUUGCCAUGGUAAGGCCCUCAGGAGUGUGGCAGUCAGUGUGAGGUAAGGCAGGUCUUCCUUGUGCCACUGCAUCUCUGACAAGUGAGAAUGAUUAAGGUGAACAUCUGUAUGAAUUUUUUUUGGCUGAUAAGGAAAAAAAAUAUCAAAUAUCCUCUUCAUCAACUCUGUAAUGCCUCAGGAGUUAACUUUCUUGUUUUGUUUCUUUUCCAUUCAUUAAAAUCUAAGAUUUCUCUCAGAUCUGAGAAAACAUGGGAAUUACAUAUUUGCCCUCCAAAAUCACCUUCAGUGUGCUCAUUCUCUGUGUUACACAAAGGAUCAUCUACUAUUAUUUUAGCUUAACAUCGAUCAAUUUUCUUCUUUCAUUGGGAAAAUAAUAUAUGUUCACAUUAAUGAUGGUGGUUCCAACAAAGCUUUCUCAGCUGCUCUUCUUCACACUGUCCAGUUCUGUUGUGCGCUGAGAGGAUUUUAUGGCUGCUCAUACAGCAAGUAAGCUAAUAGGGAAUUAGGGACAAGUGAAAAUAAAACAGAAAAGCAUUGAUGGUUUUGUUCUAAGUAUGGAUGAGAUGCAAACACGUGUGUUCCUCUACCAGAGGCAUAGCACUGCAAAAGCUUCAUCCAUUUUCUACAAGGAAAAUUGAGAUCUUAGUGACAAUUUGGAGCUGGUGCCUAAAACUCAAACCUGAAGGCACAACAGAACCUAAAAAAAACAGAAAAUAAAAUAGAAAACAAACUGUGGCCUCACUGGCAUUCAUUUCACAAGAACUUCA